rnacentral:rRNA from 1 species
UAGGGAAUCUUCCGCAAUGGACGCAAGUCUGACGGAGCAACGCCGCGUGAGUGAAGAAGGAUUUCGGUUCGUAAAACUCUGUUGUUAGAGAAGAACAGCGCAUAGAGUAACUGUUAUGCGUGUGACGGUAUCUAACCAGAAAGCCACGGCUAACUACGUGCCAGCAGCCGCGGUAAUACGUAGGUGGCAAGCGUUUUCCGGAUUUAUUGGGCGUAAAGCGAGCGCAGGCGGUCAAUUAAGUCUGAUGUGAAAGCCCCCGGCUCAACCGGGGAGGGUCAUUGGAAACUGGUUGACUUGAGUGCAGAAGAGGAGAGUGGAAUUCCAUGUGUAGCGGUGAAAUGCGUAGAUAUAUGGAGGAAAACCAGGGGCGAAGGCGACUCUCUGGUCGGUAACUGACGCUGAGGCUCGAAAGCGUGGGUAGCAAACAGG